AAGGAUUUAAGUUAAGUAAACUAAUAACCUUCAAAGUUGUAAAUAGAAGCAUCUAAGCCUUA
rnacentral:tRNA from 2 species